GCUGCUGCAGGGCGGGCGCUCGGACCGCGGGGCUGCGGCCGGCCCCCCGCGGGACGGGACCGAGGGGCGACCCCAGGGCCACCGCGGCGGAGCCCAGGCCGAGCAUGUGUGCAUUUGCACCUACCUGUUAGGGUGUGUGUGUGCACACCUAGCUGCUGUUUUACAUGCACGUGUAGCUGCAUGUAGCGCAGAUGUAGGGCGCGUGUGCCUCCAACAUGUCAGCAGACACAGGUCUCGGAUCCAGACACAGAUCGCCUCAGCUGGCAUGCUUUUCUGUGCGAUCGUUUGCCUUUGGCCUUGAGUCACUGCUUGAAGUGGAGCCACUCCCCACUAACACUGCUCAGACCUCCAGUGAAGCUCACCCCUCCUCCUCCCCCGGCAAAGCAGCAUUGUGCUCAAGUCUGAAUCUUUUCACCUUGUACAAGCCGUGAGCCUCACUGAGCUUCCCAUCCCAGACCUGUGAGCUGGCGAGUUAAAUAACGUGCUGCGCAAGUGCAAGGUGCACUCUGCCCUGCUUGGGGAACAAAACGUGGCCCCAUCCUUCUCCGUUCCAGCCCCAAGGGCCAGCGACUGCCCUUGGACGAGGGCCAGCACCUGCUCGUGCACCAGGCGGAGCUGAAAUGACCUUUCAGGUGAGCCUUAGAGAGUUCCGGCCCAAGUGCUUCAGAUCCUGGAAGUGCAAGGUCAACCUCUCCUGUGCACGGAUGGGAGCGUGGUUUCCAGUCACACAAUGCGCAGCCCUUGUGGGUGGCAGACAGCGGCUUGUUUGUCCCACAUCUGCUCCCUGGCUUCCCAGGGGAGUCACGUGUUUCCCUUACCACCUUCUCAUUUAGGAGCUGAUUAUGUGAAUGUUCUCGUGUUGUCUGCGACGCCUGGAAAGAGUGUUGAACAUGGCCUCUUCCCAGGUCUGUGUGUGACAGGCGGUGACGUGCAAAGGGAGCCAGAGGCCCAGAAAGAGAACAGCAUAAGGUGGCAAAGUCCGUGGAGCCACGGCUACUGAUGCUGACCUGCCCUUGACCUGACGGAAGGUUGGGAGGAAACCUUCAUUAAAAGGUAGCAAAACCACAUUUUGUGAGCCAUGAGCAGAUCCCCUCCUAAUCCAUUCUCACACUUGAAGCAGAAAACCGUCUCACAUUUUCGCCCCUCCAUUUUCAUUUGCACCUGCUCCCCUCCAGGCCGCCUCCCAGAGGCCUGUGCUGCUAAUAGGACUGGCGGUGUUCACACACAGACUGCGAGGAAGCCCCGAGGGGCCUACAGUCAUUUCCACCAGUGAACACUGGGGAGAACUAGACCCGCGCGAGGGAGGAAAGAUCACAGACCACCUUUCACCGACCAGCGAAGGGAGGACAAACAGGAAGCUUGGCCAACAGACAGCAGAACAGAGAAGCCAAUGGCUCAGAGGAAGGAGCCCCGGGGCAGAGCCAGACCUCUGCCAUGGCAGAGUCCACGGAACCACGAGACGUCCCUGGAUCUCCCCAUUCACAGAGGAGCAGGCAGUCAGGGGAAUGGCUGUCGCUGGGGACGGCCCAGGGCUUGGAGGCUGCAGAAGCACCAUGGAUCACUCGUUUGAUGCUUCUGAGUGGAACAGAGUGAACCAAGGGACAUCAUUGCAGAGGUGGAAGAGGGAGCUGGCAAAUCAGAUGCUACACAGGAAAGUAAGCUGGGGCCCGCACUAUGGCGUAGUGGGUUAAGCCACUGCCUGCAGUGCUGGCAUUCCAUACGGGCAAUGGUUCAAGUUCCGGCUGCUUUACUUCCAAUCCAGCUCUCUGCUGUGGCCUGGGAAAGCAGUAGAAGAUGGCCCAAGUCCUUGGGCCCCUGCACACACAUGGGAGACCUGGAAGAAGCUCCUGGCUCCUGGCUUUGAAUUGGCGCAGCUCCGGCCGCUGGGAGUGAACCAGUGGAUGGAAAACCUCUCUGUCUCUGUCUUUCUCUCUCUCUGUAACUCUGACUUUCAAAUAAAUAAAUAAAUCUUAAAAGAAAGAAAGAAAGAAAGAGAGAGAGAGAGAAAGAAAGGAAGGAAGGAAGGAAGGAAGGAAGGAAGGAAGGAAGAAAGAAAGAAAGAAAAUGGGGACACUUGGAGGUAGAAAGCAGGGGGACAGGCUCCCUAGAGGCCAGCAUGAUCGGGGCCUGGUCUCCAGCCCUGGCCUGGUUAUUAACACUGCUGACACCCACGGCCCCUGAUCCUCCUCCACCCGCAGUGGAAAUGAAGGAAUGAAGUGACAGCCUGGACGACCGGCGGCCUCCCGGACAACCAGAGGCUCGGGCAGCAGUUACAGAGGGUGGAUCCGACACCUGGGGGUCACCCCUCGUGCAUGGGGUAUGCGGCCACCACGGAGAGGGAAGCCUGGUGCAGGACACUGAACAACAGCUCAGAGCUGAGCAAGUAAAAGCUGGAUCCACUAAAGGAAGCUGCCCUCAGCCCUGCUUCCCCUUGGGCUUCCGGCCAACAGGGCGCAACACUGAGUUAGCAAACUGGCAUCCGAGACAGAAAGGCAAACGGAACUCACAGGAGUAGGCCAAGAGCCAAGAAUACGCUAGCACGUCAGGAAGAAUGGAGGAGUGGACAGAGCUGUCGGAGCCAUGAGCAGGCCAGAUGGGAAGAGAUGGUCUGACAACCACACAGCUGAGCUGCAGAAACAGAAGUGGGAGAAAGGCACACCCCGCAAAAAACACAUGACUCCAUGAGAAUGCUCCUGAAGACAGACCUUAAUCAGGAAGUGAAUUCUGUGUAAGAAGGGCUCAGAGACAGUCUUAGGAAACAGCAAAAGUAGGUGGAAAGGGCAAAACCAAAGAAAGGGAUGGGGGCCACAAACUCGCCAUUUCCUAACCAGAACGUCCGACGCAGAGCAGACACGGCACAGGCCCGAGGGCCAUUCCCAAGACAAAGCGGGCAGUGACAAGAAGGGAAGUCCCCAGGGCCAUGACGCUCGCAGCACAUGAGAGAGCCUGCUCGCAGCGCGGGACAAAGAAUCUGACUCCCUUCUGCUGCUCCACGCUGGGCAGGGGGUUGGGGAAGCCCAGGGGCGCCCGCUGUGACACUGGUGAGACAUUCAAACCGCAUCGGCCUCUUACCGCAUGGGGACGCCUCGUCCUGGACCCACCCCAAGCCAGGUGCCCUUCCCCACGUUCCCAGGACAUCUGGGGUCUGCUUGGGAGCCUGCUUGCUCCCCUGGAAAGCCUCGUCAGAUGCGUAAGAAAUCCUGUUACACCUCUCCACUGUGUGUGCGGCACCAUCAGACUAGACAGGGAAGGCAGUAAUUAACGGAGGACAAUUUCCCCACAACGUUGAAAAAAAAGAAUCUGUAGUUGAAUAAGUUGUUUUCCAGAAAAACUGAUACAGAAUGAUGACACUGGGACAAAUUCUGCUAAAGCCGUCAAAUUCCAAGGGUAAAGGAAAACUUCCAGCAGUCAGGUGGGAAAAGCAAGCCACACACAGGAGGCAGAGGUCAGCCGCUCUCAGCCUUGUCCACAGUGGUAUCCAGGAAGUUCAGAGACAAGGGGACAAUGUCCAGACAAGGUGCUUCUCCAUUACUAAGGCACGAGUCAGGCAACGUUCAGCAUGACUGCACUCACAGUCUUCAUGAGCUUUUUAGAGAGCUGAAAACAAGCCGGGGCCAGCGCUGUGGCGCAGCAGGUUAACACCCUGGUCUGAAGCUCCAGCAUCUCAUGUGGGCGCCGGUUCGAGACCUGGCUGCUCCAGUUCCCAUCCAGCUCUCCACUAUGGCCUGGGAAAGCAGUAAAAGAUGGCCCAAGGACCAUGCAUGGAAGACCCGGAAGAAGCUCCUGGCUCCUGGCUUCAGAUCAGCGCGGCUCUAGCUGUUGCGGCCAAUUGGGAAGUGAACCAUCAGAUGGAAGACCUCUCUCUCUCUCUCUCUGCCUGUCCUCUCUCUGUGUAACUCUGACUUUCAAAUAAAAAUAAAUCUUUAUAAAAAAAAAGAAAACAAGCCAACAAAUAAAUAAAAAUAGAGGCUGACAUUGUGAUGCAGUAGGUUAAGCUGCUGCUUGCAACACCACAAUCCCGUAUCAGAGUGCCAGUCCAAGUCCUGGCUGCUCCAGUUCUGAUGCAUCUUUCUGCCCAUGUGCCUGGGAAAGCAGAUGAUGGCCCAAGUACUUGGGCCCCCAUCACCCUCAUGGGAGACCCAGAUGGAGUUCCUGGCUCCUGGCUUCACCCUGAGCCAAUCCCAGCUAUUCUAGCCAUUUGGGGAGUGAACGAGGAGACAGAAGCUAGCUAGCUCACUCUCUUUCUCUCUCUAUCACUUUGCCUUUCAAAUAAAUGAUUCCUUUAGAAAGAAAGAAAGAGGCGGGCAGUGUCGUGGCAGAGCAGGUUAAGCCACCACCUAUGACACCAGCAUUCCAUAUGGGCACUGGUUCGUGUCCCAGCCCCUAUUUCCAACACUGCUCCCGGCUAAUAGGCCUGGGAAAGCAGUGGAGGAAGGCCCAAGUCUUUGGGUCCUUGCACAUCGGAGACACAGAUGAAGCUCCUGGUCCCAGUCAUUGUGGCCAUUUGGGGAGUGAACCAGCAGAUGGAAGAUCUCUGUUUCUCUCUCUC